CCCACGUUGGGAGAAUGCUCUUGUAUAAUUCCGAGAAUAUGGCUCGGAAGUCUCUACCGGACAGCCGUAAACUGUCCUGGCUACAAGGGCGUAAUUUUUUUAC
rnacentral:ncRNA from 2 species